rnacentral:misc_RNA from 1 species
CCGUUUAUGUUCAAUGUUCAUCAUUUGCACUGGUGUAUACUUUGCUUUAUUUGUUAUGCUAAAGUCUUACAUAUUGCAAUUUCAAGCUUAAUAGAGGGAAGUUAAUUGUCAUUAGAUGGUUUUCAUCCAGAUUCUUGAUGUUUGUGCGUCAUUUUCAUUUUCCCGCUCCAUGGCCGCUCGUAACAAAAAAUACCACCUUCUAAGUUUACAAAGUGACGAAACUGGGAAUUAACGAACGAGUGUAGUUUCCACGCGAGAAUUAACGAACACACUCGCAGUGUGUUUAUUAGGCUUGUGAAUGUUUCUGUGGGGCAGGUUGUAAAAUGCUAUGUUUUUUAUGCGUGUGAUUUUUGAAAUGAUUGUAAACAUCAAGUUCAAAAGUGCGAUCUACUGUUUAUCGUGAUUUUGUUCUUCGUUAAUGUGGACCUGUAAAUGAAUAAAUUUUAUUAAUAUUAGUAGUACUACUAAAUUACUAAUUAUAUGUAUAGUAUAUUUUAAUUGUAAUUUGUAUAGAGUUGCUAUGCAAUGUGCAAGAUAUGUCACGAGUGUAUCAUUAAAUAGGACUCUUAGGACGUAUAAAUAUAUUCAUAAUUUCUUAAAUAGAAAUGUAUAUUACAAAGAGUUCAAAAAUAUAUGGAGGCGUUUGUAUUACACUCACAGACAAAGUUCACCAGUGAUUUUAGGAAUUGAAACAAGCUGUGAUGAUACAGGGGCAGCAGUUGUUGAUGCAGAUGGAAAUAUACUUGGUGAGGCAUUGCAUUCUCAGUUGCAAAUUCAUCUUGAGCAUGGGGGAAUUAUACCACCUAUUGCUCGUGACUUACACCACAAGCACAUACAAGGUAUUGUUAACAUGGCACUGGAAAGAAGUCAAUGUGAAUUAAAGGAUCUCUCUGCUAUUGCUACAACAGUGAAACCAGGCCUUCCAUUGUCAUUAUCAGUUGGUCUUAAAUAUAGCAAGCAACUUGUCAAAGAAACAUCUAAACCUUUCAUACCUAUUCACCAUAUGGAAGCUCAUGCUUUGACUGCCAGAAUGGUACACAAUAUUGAGUUUCCAUUUCUGGUUCUUUUGGCCUCUGGUGGACACUGUCAGCUCGCCAUUGUAAGGAAUGUUGAUGACUUCUUGUUGUUGGGAUCAACACUUGAUGAUGCCCCUGGGGAAGCAUUUGAUAAGAUUGCACGACGCCUAAAGCUCAGGAAUAUUCCUGCUUUGUCAACUGUUGGAGGUGGACAAGCCAUUGAAACUUUAGCUAAAGAAGGAAAUUCUCAGGCCUUUAACUUUCCUACCCCAUUGUCAAAAUAUAGAGAUUGCAACUUCUCUUUUGCAGGAUUAAAGUUUAGAGCAUAUAAGAUCAUUACUGCGGAGGAGAAAAAACAUGAUAUUAUUGGUGAUCUAAUUCUCCCAAAUGUAGCAGACAUUUGUGCAUCUUUCCAACAUGCUAUCGCCAAUCAUAUUGUAAAGAGAGUACAUCGAGCACUGUUAUUUUGUGAACUUGAAGAAUUGUUACCAGUGAACAAGAAAGUUCUAGUGGUUUCGGGUGGUGUGGCUUGCAAUCAUUACAUCCGUGCCGUUUUGAAGUUAGUUUGUGAUCACAUAGACUUUGAACUUGUGUGCCCUCCACCAAAAUUAUGUACAGACAAUGGAAUUAUGAUAGCUUGGUGCUGGCGAAGACAUCACAGGUUUGUGGCCCCUUCAAACAUCUGAAGGCUAGUGUAGCAGAACACCUCUCAAGACGACUGAUGUCAAUCAAAUGAGCAGUCACACCAAUAUAACUCUAUCUUCUGGAUGUCCAGCAGUCAGUAGUUGUGGAAUGGCAUAGAAAGAUAUAAAGCAGGUAUUGGAAUUGCUGAAAAUCUGGAUGAAGUGGAUAUCCAAGCAAAGUGUCCAUUAGGAAAAGAUAUCUCCAAGUCAGUAGAAGAACUGUCC